CAAAAGGCUCUUCCCAGUGCCAUUCUGUCUGAUAUGCACAGAGCCACUCAAUUGCAUCAGCAGAAAGGUGU
rfam:Meleagris gallopavo isolate NT-WF06-2002-E0010 breed Aviagen turkey brand Nicholas breeding stock chromosome 26, whole genome shotgun sequence.